CUUGACUUUUGGUAGAUUCUGGAACCUCUCAGGGAGGUUACUGGCCAGGAAUUAUGAAAAAACGGUUUGAUUGGGGGAGCAUGGGGAAAGCCUGCUGCCUGCAACCUGUAUCAGUCAGGAAGCUUUUGAGCAGACAUACUAAUUCCCACUGGAAAAAAAAAAGGUGCAAAUCCCUGGAGUGACACCGUCUUUUAAUCCCUCAUCACCUCGUACUCUCCUGAUCAGUUCUCUUCAGGAAAACGGGCAGAAUCCUAAGACAGAGUCUAAGAGAUGUUUUCUUUGAAUAAGGGGAGUAGACCCAGAAAGAAAAGAAAUCCAAGGUCUGUGUCUGCAUCUCAGCUCUGUCUGUUCCGAGGUGUGUCAUCUGGGGCUGUUCACCACCUCCCCUGGACUAAAGAUCCCUCACCUGCAAAAUGCGGAGGACAGCAGGAAGGUGAAGGCACUGUUUCAUGUUGGAGUGUUGGAAAGAAACAGAAGAGAAAGAAAAGAGAGGGAGGAGAAGAUUUAAGACCAGCGCACAGAUUGAAAUGGUUAAUGCCGUCUCGGGCUGGAGAACAAGUGCUCUGAGUGCUGAAGACUCCUCCCAUCUCCACAUCUCCAAAUGUCCCCAUGUAGAUUCCAGGAUCCACACAUCAGAGGCACCUGCCACUGAGCUGGGCAUGAACUCUGAAGACCAGGUAUGUCACUUGGGACAUUUGCCCAGAUGAGAAGUGCAGGGGUGGGCCAGGUGUGAGUGUCACCAAGUCCAGAUCAGGAACUGCUGACCUCUCACUGCUGCCUCCUCCAAAUCCUACAGAAGCCCCGCACAUGGGAGAUGCUGGACAAGACUGUGAGAACGGUA